rfam:Oxytricha trifallax strain JRB310 Contig22631.0 macronuclear, whole genome shotgun sequence.
GCCCGUCUAGCUCAGUGGUAGAGCGCCAGACUUUUAAUCUGGUGGUCGAGGGUUCGAUCCCCUCGGUGGGCG